GGGAAAGGGGGUUCCACAGAAGAGGAUGCUGGGAGGAGAUGGAGUAUAUCUCAGAGAAAUGUAGCUGCCAUUGAACUGGAAUAGUUGGCAGUGAGACUAUUGCUUCAGUACCCCUGGAGGCUUGAGCACAGGGACUUGGUCGGAGAUUUAUCCAUUAAUUCCUACCAAUUCAUAAAUUCCUACUUGUCUAUAGGAAUUUAGUUAAGACAUCUCAAUAAAUGAGUACUCACGUUCCUUCAGCCACUGACCUUUUACUUCCAAAGUAAUGUACUUGUAGUCAGCACCUUGGUAGUCAAUGAGACAAAGGUAAGAUCCCGCAUCUGUGAUCUUGACGCUGGUAAUGUGAAGGAUUGCACGUCCCAAUUUCAAUUCGUUGCGUAACAGUGCUGCUCUUCCCAUGUAAUCAUGAUGUUGGGAUGAAGUGAGUGCUUUCCCAUUGCGGAGUGUGUACACCUCUCUUGAUUCCAACUGACCUUGCCUCUUCUGCUCCCAGACAACACUCAGAAGUCCCAGGUUCAAUGAGCCAUUCACAGGGAAUCUGCAUUCCAUGGUCACAUUGCUCCCAUACUCCACAACAUAUAGCUGCUGAGGAACUUCAACUGUAAAUAGUUCCUCAGCACCUAAGUCAUGCCUGGUAAUUCAGGCCACCUCUACUAUCAACACACAACGUUUUCAAGGAGAACAGUGGUGGAAAGUGAUGGACAUUUGUUCUUAUGCUCAAUGCUUAGACAAUGCCUUCUGUAAGGCAUUUCACGGCAGAGGCUCCACCCACAUCCUAAGGACACAGCAGUAUUGUAACAUUGGUCCUAAUGAUGAGAAUGAAAGGCAGCCCACUUCCUCUCACCUGAAACCACACAGAGCUGCAUUUCCAGCCACAGCACUGUCAGGAUUUGGAACAUUUUCUCUGGUUG
rnacentral:lncRNA from 1 species